rnacentral:miRNA from 1 species
UGUGUGGCUGUUCCUUCGCUCGCC